rnacentral:piRNA from 1 species
CAGAAAGAACUCGGGAGGUAGGGAAA